UCAGCAGUCAAGAAUAUUAGUCAAUGCUCGCAAGAGUGAACUAGCUAACUGAAAUCUUAAAUUUUAUUUUAAGAUAAGGUAAGAGAAAAUAAUGAUAUUAUCUUACUAUUAGUGUCGUCUAAAUUUGGUGCCAGAAGACUCGGUAAGACCUUAGACGCAAACGUUAAUCGUCAUAAUCAGGCGUAAAGGGUGUGUAGGCGGCUUUAAAUACAAAUAUAAUUAUAGCUUAAAAAAUUAUAUUCUAAUAAAAGCUAGAAUCUAAAAGAGGGUAAGCUAAACAACAUAAUUAAUUGGGACUGACAACUUAUAAUAAUGUGGAGUACUAAAGGUUAAAGCUAUUUAUCUACUUAUGAUUGACGCUGAGAAACGAAGGGGAGAAUAAGAAACUUAGAUUAGAGACCUAAUUAUCUCUCUCAGUCAACGAUGAAUGGUAGUUAUUAAAAAUAAAAAUUAUAAUAAUUUUAUUAGUGACGAGGUUAACACGAUGACCAUUCCGCCUUGUUAGUAAGACUGCAAAGUUGAAAACAAAAAAAUUAGUCGGUCUUGAAGCAAACGAAGUGAAGCAUGUUAUUUAAU
rnacentral:rRNA from 1 species